ACGUUAGCGGCGGACGGGUGAGUAACACGUGGGUAAUCUACCUAUAAGACUGGGAUAACUUCGGGAAACCGGAGCUAAUACCGGAUAAUAUUUCGAACCGCAUGGUUCGAUAGUGAAAGGUGGUUUUGCUAUCACUUAUAGAUGGACCCGCGCCGUAUUAGCUAGUUGGUAAGGUAACGGCUUACCAAGGCGACGAUACGUAGCCGACCUGAGAGGGUGAUCGGCCACACUGGAACUGAGACACGGUCCAGACUCCUACGGGAGGCAGCAGGA
rnacentral:rRNA from 1 species